AGCUCUAAUAGCGUAUAUUAAUGUUGUUGCGGUUAAAAAGCUCGUGGUUGAACGUGAAGGGUAAAACUGUAUCUGGGUAAACCCAUUUGCAGUUAUUAUCGCUUUUUCAGGUCUUCGGUUUACUUGACUUAAUUGUCAAAUAAGCUUAACGGAUGCCUUGUAGCUACUCUGAUAAAAUCAGAGUGCUUAAAACAAGCAUAUUGCUUGUAUAUUUGUGCAUAGUAUAGCAAAAUAUGACCUCAGAUAAUAAAGGUGGUGAGUAGCCGUGGUAAUGAUUAAAAGGGAUUGUCGGUGGCAUUUGUAUUUGAAAGUGAGAGGUGAAAUUCUAUGAUCUUUAAAAGACAAACUAGAGCGAAAGCAUUUGCCAAGUAUGUUUUCA
rnacentral:rRNA from 1 species